AGUUUGUAGUUUAAUGGAAAAUAUCAUAAUUUGACUAUGGAGAUUCUUUGAGAGAGACUG
rnacentral:tRNA from 1 species